GGUCAAGUUGUCAAGGGCGAACGGUGGAUGCCUUGGCACCAGGAGCCGAUGAAGGACGUGGGAGGCCGCGAUAGGCCUGGGGGAGCUGUCAACCAAGCUGUGAUCCCAGGGUGUCCGAAUGGGGAAACCCGGCAUCAGUCAUGUGAUGUCACCCGCACCUGAACACAUAGGGUGUGUGGGGGGAACGCGGGGAAGUGAAACAUCUCAGUACCCGUAGGAAGAGAAAACAAAUAGUGAUUCCGUGAGUAGUGGCGAGCGAAAGCGGAUUGAGGCUAAACCGGCUGCGUGUGAUACCUGUCAGGGGUUGCGUGGUCGGGGUUGUGGGACCCUGCUGAGUGUGCUGACACGCAUUCGAGGAGUUACAAAGCUAGUGGCUAGUCGAACAGUCUGGAAUGGCUGACCGUAGACGGUGAUAGUCCGGUAGGUGAAAGCUGCUGGUCUUCUGUGGGUGUUCCCGAGUAGCGGCGGACUCCUGAAAUCUGCCGUGAAUCUGCCAGGACCACCUGGUAAGCCUAAAUACUUCCUGGUGACCGAUAGCGGACAAGUACCGUGAGGGAAUGGUGAAAAGUACCCCGGGAGGGGAGUGAAAUAGUACCUGAAACCGUUCGCCUACAAUCCGUCGGAGCCUUGCGGGGUGACGGCGUGCCUUUUGAAGAAUGAGCCUGCGAGUUAGUGGCAUGUGGCGAGGUUAACCCGUGUGGGGGAGCCGUAGCGAAAGCGAGUCUGAAUAGGGCGUUUUUAGUCGCAUGCUCUAGACCCGAAGCGGAGUGAUCUAGCCAUGGGCAGGCUGAAGCGCGGGUAAGACCGCGUGGAGGGCCGAACCCACCAACGUUGAAAAGUUGGGGGAUGACCUGUGGUUAGGGGUGAAAGGCCAAUCAAACUCCGUGAUAGCUGGUUCUCCCCGAAAUGCAUUUAGGUGCAGCGUCGCGUGUUUCUUGCCGGAGGUAGAGCACUGGAUGGUCUAGGGGGCCCACAAGCUUACCGAAAUCAGCCAAACUCCGAAUGCCGGUAAGUGAGAGCGCGGCAGUGAGACUGCGGGGGAUAAGCUUCGUAGUCGAGAGGGAAACAGCCCAGAUCACCAGCUAAGGCCCCUAAGCGUGUGCUAAGUGGAAAAGGAUGUGGGGUCGCAUAGACAACCAGGAGGUUGGCUUAGAAGCAGCCACCCUUUAAAGAGUGCGUAAUAGCUCACUGGUCAAGUGGUUCCGCGCCGACAAUGUAGCGGGGCUCAAGCACACCGCCGAAGCUGUGGCAUUCACAUUUUAACUUCGUGCCUCCUUGAUGGGGUAUGCAGGUGUGUGGAUGGGUAGGGGAGCGUCGUGCCGGGGGUGAAGCAGCGGGGUGACCCAGUUGUGGACGCGGCACGAGUGAGAAUGCAGGCAUGAGUAGCGAAAGAAGGGUGAGAAACCCUUCCGCCGGAUGACCAAGGGUUCCAGGGCCAGGCUAAUCCGCCCUGGGUGAGUCGGGACCUAAGGCGAGGCCGAGAGGCGUAGUCGAUGGACAACGGGUUGAUAUUCCCGUACCCGCGAAAGAGCGACCCUGACGAACCUCGUUGUGCUAACCACCCGAACUGCCGGCGGUCUUCGGACCAAUGGUGGGGAGCGUGGGAACCUGGCGGGUAGUAGUCAAGCGAUGGGGUGACGCAGGAAGGUAGCUGAGCCCGGCCGGUGGUUGUGCCGGGGUAAGCGUGUAGGCCGUGUCGUAGGCAAAUCCGCGACACAUGGAGGCUGAGACGUGAUGCCGAGCCGAUUCAGGUGAAGUCAGUGAUCCUAUGCUGCCGAGAAAAGCCUCUAGCGAGUUCUUAGCGGCCCGUACCCCAAACCGACACAGGUGGUCAGGUAGAGAAUACCGAGGCGAUCGGGCGAACUGUGGUUAAGGAACUCGGCAAAUUGCCCCCGUAACUUAGGGAGAAGGGGGGCCGGAGACGUGAAGCCCCACGCGGGUGGAGCGUUGUAUGGCCGCAGAGAGCAGGGGGAAGCGACUGUUUACUAAAAACACAGGUCCAUGCGAAGAAGUAAUUCGAUGUAUAUGGACUGACGCCUGCCCGGUGCUGGAACGUUAAGGGGACCUGUUAGCUCUUCGGGGCGAAGCGGAGAACUUAAGCGCCAGUAAACGGCGGUGGUAACUAUAACCAUCCUAAGGUAGCGAAAUUCCUUGUCGGGUAAGUUCCGACCUGCACGAAUGGCGUAACGACUUCCCCACUGUCUCAACCACAGGCCCGGCGAAAUUGCAUUACGAGUAAAGAUGCUCGUUACGCGCGGCAGGACGGAAAGACCCCGGGACCUUUACUAUAGCUUGACAUUGGUAUCUGAAUUAGCUUGUGUAGGAUAGGUGGGAGCCGGUGAAGUCCAUACGCCAGUAUGGGUGGAGGCAAUCUUGAAA
rnacentral:rRNA from 1 species